GGUCAAGCGAAUAAGCGCACACGGUGGAUGCCUUGGCGGUCAGAGGCGAUGAAGGACGUGGCAGCCUGCGAAAAGUAUCGGGGAGCUGGCAACAAGCUUUGAUCCGGUAAUGUCCGAAUGGGGAAACCCACCCGCUUGCGGGUAUCCUGCAGUGAAUACAUAGCUGCUGGAAGCGAACCUGGUGAACUGAAAUAUCUAAGUAACCAGAGGAAAAGAAAUCAACCGAGAUUCCGUAAGUAGCGACGAGCGAACGCGGACUAGCCCUUAAGCUGAUUUGGUUCUAGGAAAACGCUCUGGAAAGAGCGGCCAUAGAAGGUGAUAGCCCUGUAUCUGAAAGGGCCAUUUCAGUGAAGACGAGUAGGGCGGGGCACGUGAAACCCUGUCUGAAUAUGGGGGGACCAUCCUCCAAGGCUAAAUACUACUGACCGACCGAUAGUGAACCAGUACCGUGAGGGAAAGGCGAAAAGAACCCCGGAGAGGGGAGUGAAAUAGAACCUGAAACCGUGUGCGUACAAGCAGUAGGAGCUCCGCAAGGAGUGACUGCGUACCUUUUGUAUAAUGGGUCAGCGACUUACUGUUCGUGGCAAGCUUAACCGUAUAGGGGAGGCGAAGGGAAACCGAGUCUGAUAAGGGCGCAUAGUCGCGGGCAGUAGACCCGAAACCGGGUGAUCUAGUCAUGCCCAGGGUGAAGGUGCGGUAACACGCACUGGAGGCCCGAACCCACUCCCGUUGCAAAGGUAGGGGAUGAGGUGUGAUUAGGAGUGAAAAGCUAAUCGAACCCGGAGAUAGCUGGUUCUCCUCGAAAGCUAUUUAGGUAGCGCCUCAUAUGUAUCCUCUCGGGGGUAGAGCACUGUUAUGGCUAGGGGGUCAUCGCGACUUACCAAACCAUUGCAAACUCCGAAUACCGAGACGGACUGUAUGGGAGACACACGGCGGGUGCUAACGUCCGUCGUGAAAAGGGAAACAACCCAGACCCACAGCUAAGGUCCCAAAUUUUGUGCUAAGUGGAAAACCAUGUGGAAAGGCACAGACAGCCAGGAGGUUGGCUUAGAAGCAGCCACCCUUUAAAGAAAGCGUAAUAGCUCACUGGUCGAGUCGGUCUGCGGGGAAGAUUUAACGGGGCUAAGCACAGAACCGAAGCUUGGGGUGCAUACUUUGUAUGCGCGGUAGAGGAGCGUUCCGUAAGCCGUUGAAGGUGGAUUGAGAAGUCUGCUGGAGGUAUCGGAAGUGCGAAUGCUGACAUGAGUAACGAUAAUGCGGGUGAAAAACCCGCACGCCGAAAGCCCAAGGUUUCCUUGCGCAACGUUAAUCGGCGCAGGGUGAGUCGGCCCCUAAGGCGAGGACGAAAGUCGUAGUCGAUGGGAAGCAGGUUAAUAUUCCUGCACCUCGCGUAAGUGCGAUGGAGGGACGGAGAAGGUUAGGUGUACCAGGCGUUGGUUGUCCUGGGGAAAGGCGGUAGGUUUGGAUCUUUGGCAAAUCCGGGAUCCUUUAAGACCGAGCACCGAGACGAGCCUUUAUGGCGAAGUCACUGAUACCACGCUUCCAGGAAAAGCUCCUAAGCUUCAGCUUACGCAGACCGUACCGUAAACCGACACAGGUGGGUAGGAUGAGAAUUCUCAGGCGCUUGAGAGAACUCGGGUGAAGGAACUAGGCAACAUGGCACCGUAACUUCGGGAGAAGGUGCACCCUUUUUGGUGGCUCGUGCGAGCUAUAGCUGAAGAGGGUCGCAGUAACCAGGCCGCUGCGACUGUUUAUCAAAAACACAGCACUCUGCAAACACGAAAGUGGACGUAUAGGGUGUGACGCCUGCCCGGUGCUGGAAGGUUAAUUGAUGGGGUCAGCCGCAAGGCGAAGCUCUUGAUCGAAGCCCCAGUAAACGGCGGCCGUAACUAUAACGGUCCUAAGGUAGCGAAAUUCCUUGUCGGGUAAGUUCCGACCUGCACGAAUGGCGUAACGACAGCGGCGCUGUCUCCACCCGAGACUCAGUGAAAUUGAAAUCGCUGUGAAGAUGCAGCGUUCCCGUGGCAAGACGGAAAGACCCCGUGAACCUUUACUAUAGCUUUACACUGAACGUUGAGUUCGUCUGUGUAGGAUAGGUGGGAGGCUAUGAAACCAUGGCGCUAGCUGUGGCGGAGCCAUCCUUGAAAUACCACCCUGUCGUGCUUGACGUUCUAACCUGGGCCCAUUAUCUGGGUCGGGGACCGUGUAUGGUGGGUAGUUUGACUGGGGCGGUCUCCUCCUAAAGAGUAACGGAGGAGCUCGAAGGUACGCUCAGCGCGGUCGGACAUCGCGCACUGUGUGCAAAGGCAUAAGCGUGCUUGACUGCAAGAUCGACGGAUCAAGCAGGUAGGAAACUAGGACUUAGUGAUCCGGUGGUUCUGUAUGGAAGGGCCAUCGCUCAACGGAUAAAAGGUACUCCGGGGAUAACAGGCUGAUACCGCCCAAGAGUUCAUAUCGACGGCGGUGUUUGGCACCUCGAUGUCGGCUCAUCACAUCCUGGGGCUGUAGUCGGUCCCAAGGGUAUGGCUGUUCGCCAUUUAAAGUGGUACGCGAGCUGGGUUCAGAACGUCGUGAGACAGUUCGGUCCCUAUCUGCCAUGGGCGUUGGAGAUUUGAGAGGGGCUGCUCCUAGUACGAGAGGACCGGAGUGGACGAACCUCUGGUGUUCCGGUUGUCACGCCAGUGGCAUUGCCGGGUAGCUAUGUUCGGAAGCGAUAACCGCUGAAAGCAUCUAAGCGGGAAGCGCGCCUCAAGAUGAGAUCUCCCGGGGCACAAGCCCCCUGAAGGAACCAUGUAGACUACGUGGUUGAUAGGUCAGGUGUGUAAGUACAGCAAUGUAUUGAGCUAACUGAUACUAAUGAUCCGUGCGGCUUGACCAU
rnacentral:rRNA from 1 species